AUUGAACGCUGGCGGCAGGCUUAACACAUGCAAGUCGAGCGGGGAAAAGUAGCUUGCUACUGGACCUAGCGGCGGACGGGUGAGUAAUGCUUAGGAAUCUGCCUAUUAGUGGGGGACAACAUCUCGAAAGGGAUGCUAAUACCGCAUACGUCCUACGGGAGAAAGCAGGGGACCUUCGGGCCUUGCGCUAAUGGAUGAGCCUAAGUCGGAUAGCUAGUUGGUGGGGUAAGGCCUACCAAGGCGACGAUCUGUAGCGGGUCUGAGAGGAUGAUCCGCCACACUGGGACUGAGACACGGCCCAGACUCCUACGGGAGGCAGCAGUGGGGAAUAUUGGACAAUGGGGGGAACCCUGAUCCAGCCAUGCCGCGUGUGUGAAGAAGGCCUUUUGGUUGUAAAGCACUUUAAGCGAGGAGGAGGCUACCGAGAUUAAUACUCUUGGAUAGUGGACGUUACUCGCAGAAUAAGCACCGGUUAACUCUGUGCCAGCCGCCGCCGUAA
rnacentral:rRNA from 1 species